rnacentral:rRNA from 1 species
CUGUAGUCAGAGUUUGAUCCUGGCGUCAGGAUGAACGCUAGCUACAGGCUUAACACAUGCAAGUCGAGGGGCAGCGGGGAUGAAGCUUGCUUUAUCUGCCGGCGACCGGCGCACGGGUGAGUAACACGUAUCCAACCUUCCGGUUACUCGGGGAUAGGCUUUCGAAAGAAAGAUUAAUACCCGAUGUUGCGUAUCUUUCUCCUGAAAGAUACGCCAAAGGAUUCCGGUAACCGAUGGGGAUGCGUUCCAUUAGGCAGUUGGCGGGGUAACGGCCCACCAAACCUUCGAUGGAUAGGGGUUCUGAGAGGAAGGUCCCCCACAUUGGAACUGAGACACGGUCCAA